AUUUGGAGGAGGGACUUAGAAACUGAAGGAGGCUCUCCAAAUCUUGAAUUCUCCUUCCCCUUCUUCCCCUACUGUCCUAAGACCUUCACUUUGUUUUGCUCCCAACCCCACUCCUCCUCGGUCUUUCCUCUCAUUUAUGUAUCCAAGAACGACGCCGACUCUAAAUCACUCUAUGUCAAUUUGGAUGAUAAUGUGAGUCACCAGAAAGAAAGGUUCUUUUUGGUUUUCCAUACCUCAGAUUGAGUUAGAUGAGCUGGAAAGUGUUUCCAUUCUGUCAAUGACCCUUGCAUGGGAUGAAUUUUCCUUCUCUACUUUUCAAGAAGCCCAUUAUUCGCUUCAAGAUUCUCUAGACCAGCUGUAGAUCCUCAGUACAAGGAUUUAAGGCAUUUUCAGUGGCAUUGGGAAAAGGGGGAGCCUGUCAUUGUCAGCAAUGUGCUUGAAUGUACAUCUGGUUUAAGCUGGGAACCGCUUGUCAUGUGGCGUGCAUUACGUCAUGUAACUAAUACCAAGCAUGGCCAACAUUUGGCGGAGAAAACAAUUGAUUGCUUAGAUUGGACUGAGUUGCUGCUGAUUUCUGCAUUUCUCUUUUGAGGUAUUGGUUAAAUGCAGGGGGAAAUUAAUAUCCACCAACUUUUUACUGGCUAUACAAAUGGUCGUAGGGAUUGGCUUGCUUGGCCACAGAUAUUGAAAUUAAAAGAUUGGCCUCCUUCUAAUUUAUUUGAGGAACAAUUGCCUCGUCAUUGUGCUGAGUUCAUAUCUUCCUUACCCUUCAAGGAAUAGACUGAUCCUCACAAAGGUUCUCUUAACCUUGCUGUGAAGUUGCCUAAUGGUUCUCUAAAGCCAGACCUGGGGCCAAAAACAUAUAUUGCUUAUGGAUUUCCUCAGGAGCUUGGACGUGGUGAUUCAGUGACUAAGCUCCAUUGUGAUAUGUCUGAUGCAGUAAAUGUGUUGACUCAUAUUGCUGAAGUGAAACUGGAUUCUGAUCAACUUACUGUCAUUGAGAAGUUGAAGCAAAAGCAUCUCGAGCAAGAGAAAAGGGAGCUACUUGGUGAUGAUCAGGAUGGAGAAACUAAUGUUGACAUGCUUAAUAUAAUUCAUCUUCUACAAUAAAUGCUUUGGACAGGCAAACUAGUGUUGAAGUCAUGGAACAAGAAGGUGGAUUAUGUGAUGGGAAAGAAGUUGAUCAGUUUCAUCAACCGUCUGGUAGUAAUGAGGUUGCCAUUGCUAAUGAGGAUGGUAUUUCAUAUGGAUCAGAGCUCAUAGAGGUUGCCAAAGUAAAAAUAAAUCAAGGUGAUUUGUUGUUUGGGGGGGAUGCUUCAGAUGGUGCUCUCUGGGAUAUUUUUUGGAGACAGGAUGUCCCUAAGUUGCAGGAAUAUCUGAAGAAGAAUUUCAGAGAGUUUAGGUAUGUCCAUUGCUGUCGUUUAAAGCAGGUAAAUUAUUAAAAUGAUUCAGUUAUCUGUCUGAGUACUCCUUAUCAACCUGAGUCAUUUAUAACAAAUAUUUUCACCUUUAGGUUAUAUUUUUAAAUUUUAAUAUUUGGAGCUUUGCACCCUUAUAACAUUGACAUUCUCCCAUUCCCUUAUUUUAUUCUGAUAAAAAUUUCAUUAAAUAUGCAUGUCAUAAAGGAUUGGGUGAAAGAUCAAGCUGCUAAUAAAUAGUUAUUUAGAAAAUAAAAAAAAUGUUUCCGUGUUUAUUUUAUUAUGUGGUAAGGAGCUUUUCAUUAAUAUGACAAUAGAUGUCAUGCAAUUGCAACUGUGUUCGUUCUUUAAACAAAGUCUGGGAAUAGCAUUAUAGUGCAAUUACCAGUCCAAAAUACUCAUUAAUUUUUCAAAUAAAUAUGUUUUAUAAUUUGCAAAGUGAGAGAGUACAACUAGGAAAUUGAGUGUAUCCGACUAGACCGAGUUUCCCAGUUCUUACUGGUUCAGUGUUGGGUUGAUUACAUGGCACCGGGUUAGAUGCAUAUCCGAUUUGAUAUGUGACCCGAGCCGGUGCUAUGCCCGGGUUCCGGUUUAACCGGUUGGCCUGGCUGGUCCAGUCUGAGUUUUAUAACACUGCACACAAGAUCCCUUUGGUCUUGAAUCACAGACAGUACACUGCCCACUUACCUUGUACUGAAAUUCAACAUUUUAUUAAAAGAACGAAGACAGCACGUUUGAACUCUAUUCAUGUUACAUUAGGAUGAUUGACUUUUGGAUGUAUAGGUCUUUACGCCUUUAUCUUAUUCUGCAAUGACUCUGUGAGAGAGGAAGAAUAAAAGGGAAUGGAAGUUUGGAAAAUUUUAGACUAGAAGAAAGCCAACUUAGAGUUGAGCUUUUUAAGAACAAAUUCUAUCUCAAAAUCAAUUAUAAGAUGAACAAGAUUUUUAAAAUUUAAAUAACCAAAUGGUCUAGAUCUAAAAAUAAGCUCUAUUUCACCUAGAUAUCUAGCUUUGAUGGUUGCCACCUUAGAUUUUGGGAAAUUUAAUUCAUGUACCAUAGAAAAAAGAAGAAAAUUAUUCAUUUGCCAGGUUAUUUCUAGUUGUUAUGUUUAUCUGUUGUAUUUGUCUGAAGUUUGUCCUUGUUAUGUUUGUCUCUUGUAUUAUCAGUUGGAUCAUGCCAAUGAAUUAUCAAACUCCCUGAAAGAAAGUGCCAAUAUUAACACUUUGGGCAUCGCUUAUUGUUGAAGAAUGCACAAGACUUGGUUUGAUGGUGAGAUGAUCUGAUAAAUAUUACAUAUGCACCAAUAUUAAUGCAUGAUUCUGAUUUAUUCUUUUGUUUAGUAUUUGUGUAUUGCUCCUGGAUCUAGACCUUCCCCUGUUGCUGUUGCUGUUGCAAGUCACAAAUUAAUCACAUGUAUUUCAUGCUUCGAUGAGCGUUCACUUGCAUAUCAUGCUGUUGGAUAUGGAAGAGGAUCUCACAUUCCAGCAGUAGCCAUUACAUCAUCAGGCACUGCAGUUUCCAACCUUCUUCCUGCUGUAUGUUUCAUUAAUAUUGCUUGUUUUACAUGGAUGUCCUUAUUUUCAUGAAUUUAUUUUAGGGUAAAAUACAUUUUUGGUUCCCCUAUAAUGCUCAAUCUGCAAUUUUGGUCUCCUAGAUACUUUUAUUUUUCACUCAAUGUUUGACCAUGGAUAAUCAAUUAACGGUCAACUAACAGAAGAACCAAAAUCGCUGAUUUUGAAAAAUUGGGGGACUGAAUGUCUUGAUUUGGAAAUAGGGGGAUCAAAAUUGCGGAUUGAGCAUUAUAGGGGACCAAUAGUGUAUUUUAGCCUUUAUUUUAUUUUGAAUGUGUGAUGAUUUAUUAAUUUCUUUCCUGUGACUUGGUUUGUUGUCAUUCUGAAUGCUGUUGCUAAUACAUGCAUUGUUGGAGUUCAAUUGGUUGCUUUGCUGGCUCUUUUUUUGCACUUAGUUUUUAUUUUUAUUUCCAUCAACUUGAUUUGUAGUUUUCUCUUUGAGUUUAAUUCCCCUCAAGGUUUGAAUUGUAUUUGCUUUUAGAGUUUAAUUCAAAUUCACUAACUAUGAUAAAAAUCUGAUCAUAAAUUAUCAACUAUGAUAAGAGUAUUGAUUUUUAUAAUAAUUAUUUAAAAAUCGUAUCUAAAAUAAUUUUUUAGAAUAAAUAAUACAUAGUAAAUAAUUUAUGCACUGAAAUUUUAUAAAAACUUUUUACACUUUUAUUUAAUUAUAAAUUAUCAUAUAUAUUAAGUCUGUUAACUUUUAUAAUAAUUAAUUUAAUAAUUUUUUAUAUGUCAUCAUUUCUAGUUAGUUGAUUGAAAGUGUAAAAAACUUUUACACUAUUAUUUAAUCACAAACUGUCAUAUGUGUGAUAAAUUUAUUGAUAUUCAUGAUAAUUAUUAUUAAAGUUAUAUGAUAAAUAUUUCUAGUUGAUUGAUAAUAUAAUUUUCUUGCACAAACAAUGCACAUGCCUAUUAAUUAACUCAAUAUUAAAUUAAUUUACAAUUUUUUUUUUUACAUUUGACAGUAUAUCAAAAUAAAACUUAUGCUUUUAUACAAAAACAUGAGAUCCUUAAUGCACGUUGGUUUUAUAUUUUGUUAUAUUGUGUUCAUGUGUUUUUUUAUUUUUUUUUAUACAGUGUUCUUGUAUUCAAUAUACUUAAAAAUGAAACACUUUCAUGCAUUCAAGUAUACCAAACAAAAUUCCAACACUAUAUUUUGGAGAAAUAUGGUUUCAAUGUGUAUUCUUUUUCAAAUUUGUAAGAAGAAUUUAUUACUGUUUAUGGUUAAUAUGGGCUGAUAUAUAUUUUUCCUGUAGGGACUGCAACCUAAUCUACUAACUACUACUGAACUCUAAUGCAGGUCAAGUCUGAUCUGGCUAAAAAUAUCCAAUCAUUAGAACCAAACUCUAAAUGUUAUGUCUUGUAAUGAGUGAUUCUCUUACACUCUGAAGUAUAACAAUUUUACCUUAUAAGGGUUCAAUUCAAUCAAAGUAAAAUGGAAAGCGUUUCCUUAUUUAUCAAA